GCAGGGCGGCAGACUACACAUGCAGUCGAGCGAACCUUCGGGUUAGCGGCGGACGGGUGAGUAACGCGUGGGAACGUACCCUCUUCUGCGGGAUAGCCACUGGAAACGGUGAGUAAUACCGCAUACGCCCUUCGGGGGAAAGAUUUAUCGGAGGAGGAUCGGCCCGCGUUGGAUUAGGUAGUUGGUGGGGUAAUGGCCUACCAAGCCUACGAUCCAUAGCUGGUUUUAGAGGAUGAUCAGCCACACUGGGACUGAGACACGGCCCAGACUCCUACGGGAGGCAGCAGUGGGGAAUCUUAGACAAUGGGCGCAAGCCUGAUCUAGCCAUGCCGCGUGAGUGACGAAGGCCUUAGGGUCGUAAAGCUCUUUCGCCAGAGAUGAUAAUGACAGUAUCUGGUAAAGAAACCCCGGCUAACUCCGUGCCAGCAGCCGCGGUAAUACGGAGGGGGUUAGCGUUGUUCGGAAUUACUGGGCGUAAAGCGCACGUAGGCGGAUUGGAAAGUUGGGGGUGAAAUCCCAGGGCUCAACCCUGGAACUGCCUCCAAAACUCCCAGUCUGGAGUUCGAGAGAGGUGAGUGGAAUUCCGAGUGUAGAGGUGAAAUUCGUAGAUAUUCGGAGGAACACCAGUGGCGAAGGCGGCUCACUGGCUCGAUACUGACG
rnacentral:rRNA from 1 species